GGGUUAAGUCCCGCAACGAGCGCAACCCUCGUCCUUAGUUGCCAGCAUUCAGUUGGGCACGUCUAAGGUGACUGACCGGCUAAAAGUCGGAGGAAGGUGGGGAUGACGUCAAAUCAUCAUGCCCCUUAUGACCUGGGCUACACACGUGCUACAAUGGGCGGUACAAAGGGUCGCGAACCCGCGAGGGGGAGCCAAUCCCAAAAAGCCGCUCUCAGUUCGGAUUGCAGGCUGCAACUCGCCUGCAUGAAGCCGGAAUCGCUAGUAAUCGCGGAUCAGCAUGCCGCGGUGAAUACGUUCCCGGGCCUU
rnacentral:rRNA from 1 species